UAUCAUAUACACCGCCAAAAUAAAGAGCCUUGAGUACUAGAAGAAAAGCACCUAGACCUAACAAAAUUAAGUGAAUACCCAAAAUUGUAGUCAUUUUAUUUCUAUCUUUCCA
rnacentral:antisense_RNA from 1 species